rnacentral:rRNA from 1 species
GAUGAACGCUGGCGGCGUGCCUAAUACAUGCAAGUCGAACGAACAGACGAGGAGCUUGUCUCUCGGACGAUAGCGGCGGGAGGGUGGGCAACACGUGGAGAAACUCCCUAUUAACCUGGGAUAAAUUCGGGAAACCGGAGCGGAUACGAGAUAAUAUAUUGUACCACACGAUUCAAUCAUAAAAUACGGUUGUCCAGUUGCUAAUAGAUGGAUCUGGGCGUCAUUAGCUAGUGGGUAAGGUAACGGCGUACCAUGGCAACGGUGCGUAGCCGACCUCAGAGGGUGAUCGGCGACGCCGGAACGGGAGAACGGUCCAGACUCCUACGGGAGGCAGCAGUAGGGAACUUUCCGCAAUGGGCGAAGGCCUGACGGAGCAACGCCGGGUGAGUGAUUAAGGUCUUCGGGUCGUAAGACUCUGUUAUUCGGGAAGAACAAAUGUGUAAGUAACUAUGCACGUCUUGACGGUACCUUAUCAGAAAGCCACGGCUAACUACGUG